UACGUAGGGUGCAAGCGUUUGUCCGGAAUUAUUGGGCGUAAAGAGCUCGUAGGCGGUCUGUCACGUCGGCUGUGAAAACCUGGGGCUCAACUCCGGGCCUGCAGCCGAUACGGGCAGACUAGAGUUCGGCAGGGGAGACUGGAAUUCCUGGUGUAGCGGUGAAAUGCGCAGAUAUCAGGAGGAACACCGGUGGCGAAGGCGGGAUCUCUGGGCCGAUACUGACGCUGAGGAGCGAAAGCGUGGGGAGCGAACAGG
rnacentral:rRNA from 1 species